ACACUCCCUCCCCCCUCCCUCUCGGUCGCUCCCGCUCGCCACCACCACCGCCUCGCAGCUCCAAACCCUAGUCCCAAUUCCCAAACCCCAGCGUUAAUGUCCAUGGAGAACCCCGGGCCGCUCCCCCCUGCCAUCACCCCUCCCAUGGCUCCCCUCCCCGUCCACCCGCCCAUCGCUCCCAUCCCCAUCCCCGUCCCACCCUCCACAUCCGCCGCUGCGGACGAUGACGAGGUCGACUACGAGGUCUCCGACGACCACCGCGCCGCGCGGGAGCGCCACGAGCGCGCCGUACAGGAGCUCCUGCAGCGCCGACGCGCCUACGCCAUGGCCGUGCCCACCAACGACUCCGCCGUGCGCGCGCGCCUCCGCCGUCUCGGCGAGCCCAUCACGCUCUUCGGCGAGCGCGAGAUGGAGCGCCGCGACCGCCUACGCGCACUCAUGGUCCGCCUCGAGGCCGACGGCCAGUUCGACCGCCUCCUCCGCGUGCAGGAGGACGAGCAGGGAGCCCCGGGCGACGACGACGACAUGGAGCAGAUCCAGUACCCUUUCUUCACUGAGGGGACCAACCAACUGCUCCAGGCGCGCGUUGAUAUAGCUAUGUACUCACUGCCCCGCGCUAAGGCCAGGGUCGACAGGGCCAAGCGCCGCCUCGCUGACCUCGACGAGGACCCCGAGGCAGAGGCCGACCUUGUUGUCAAGCAGGCGGGGGACUUCGUGCUUGAGUGCAGCGAGAUUGGAGAUGACCGCCCGCUCACCGGCUGCUCCUUCUCCCGCGAUGCCUCAAUGCUCGCCACAAGCUCCUGGAGCGGGAUACUCAAAGUAUGGAGCAUGCCACAGAUAACUAAAAUUGCAACCCUGAAAGGUCAUACAGAACGUGCAACUGAUGUUGCCUUCUCUCCAGUUGAUAACUGCUUAGCGACAGCCUCAGCUGAUAAAACUGCCAAAUUAUGGAACAGUGAUGGGUCACUCCUAAUGUCUUUUGAUGGCCACCUGGAUCGUCUUGCUCGCGUUGCUUUUCAUCCAUCUGGAAAGUACCUUGGUACAGCUAGCUUUGACAAGACCUGGAGAUUGUGGGACAUCAAUACUGGAACUGAACUUCUGCUCCAAGAGGGACAUAGCAGAAGUGUAUAUGGUGUUAGUUUUCAUCCAGAUGGUUCUUUAGCUGCAUCUUGUGGGCUUGAUGCGAAUGCUCGAGUUUGGGAUCUAAGGUCAGGAAGAUUGUACUGUACCCUCAUUGGACAUGUGAAACCUGUCCUAGGAGUCGGCUUCUCCCCUAAUGGUCAUCUAGUUGCAACUGCAAGCGAAGACAAUUUCUGUCGAAUAUGGGAUUUGAGGACCAGACAAAUGUUAUAUUCUAUACCGGCACAUAAGAGUCUCAUCUCGCAUGUGAAAUUUGAACCCCAGGAGGGUUAUUAUUUAGCGACAUCUUCCUAUGACACUAAAGCAGCGGUAUGCAUCUCGGGAUUACAAACCAAUUAAAUGCUUGGCAGGCCAUGAGUCAAAGGUUACUAGUCUGGAUAUUAGUGGAGAUCAAGAGCCGUCCGGCGGGGAGAAGGCAGGGUGUCACCGACAGGAGCGCAUCGCGUAGCACCACUGCAUUCCGCCGGCCGCCGCGAGGGCGCCUCUGCUGGUCGCUCUUGCGACCACUUCCAGAUGGACAACAGAUUGUGACUGUUUCACAUGAUAGAACUAUAAAGAUCUGGUCAUGCAGAGGCACAGCGCGGGAUAAUGAGAUGGAGUUGGAUUAAGGCAUUGAUUCCACUUGCUGGAAACAGGCUGUGCUAGUCUUGUCCUUUCGCUGAUCUGUCGGUCCAAUCUCUUUACAUUCGAUGAUGCUAUUUUACUGCGUCUAUAACCCUUAACCCUUGUGCACAAUCUUGACAAAUGUACCUCAUAAGUACUCCCUCCGUCCCAUAAUAUAAGAGUGUUUUUUACACUACACUAGUGUAAAAAACGCUCUUAUAUUAUGGGACAGAGGGAGUAUUUCUUAAGAUUUUGGACUCGAUAUAGUUCUUUAAAACAAAUGGGCUUUCUGGCAAAAACAUGAAGUUCUUAAGUUUGGAAGAAGUA